rnacentral:rRNA from 1 species
AUAAGGUCCGUGUUCGAAAGGGAAACAGCCCAGACCACCAGCUAAGGUCCCAAAAUAUAUGUUAAGUGGAAAAGGAUGUGGCGUUGCCCAGACAACUAGGAUGUUGGCUUAGAAGCAGCCAUCAUUUAAAGAGUGCGUAAUAGCUCACUAGUCGAGUGACACUGCGCCGAAAAUGUACCGGGGCUAAACAUAUUACCGAAGCUGUGGAUUGUCCUUUGGACAAUGGUAGGAGAGCGUUCUAAGGGCGUUGAAGCAUGAUCGUAAGGACAUGUGGAGCGCUUAGAAGUGAGAAUGCCGGUGUGAGUAGCGAAAGACGGGUGAGAAUCCCGUCCACCGAUUGACUAAGGUUUCCAGAGGAAGGCUCGUCCGCUCUGGGUUAGUCGGGUCCUAAGCUGAGGCCGACAGGCGUAGGCGAUGGAUAACAGGUUGAUAUUCCUGUACCACCUAUAAUCGUUUUAAUCGAUGGGGGGACGCAGUAGGAUAGGCGAAGCGUGCGAUUGGAUUGCACGUCUAAGCAGUAAGGCUGAGUAUUAGGCAAAUCCGGUACUCGUUAAGGCUGAGCUGUGAUGGGGAGAAGACAUUGAGUCUUCGAGUCGUUGAUUUCACACUGCCGAGAAAAGCCUCUAGAUAGAAAAUAGGUGCCCGUACCGCAAACCGACACAGGUAGUCAAGAUGAGAAUUCUAAGGUGAGCGAGCGAACUCUCGUUAAGGAACUCGGCAAAAUGACCCCGUAACUUCGGGAGAAGGGGUGCUCUUUAGGGUUAACGCCCAGAAGAGCCGCAGUGAAUAGGCCCAAGCGACUGUUUAUCAAAAACACAGGUCUCUGCUAAACCGUAAGGUGAUGUAUAGGGGCUGACGCCUGCCCGGUGCUGGAAGGUUAAGAGGAGUGGUUAGCUUCUGCGAAGCUACGAAUCGAAGCCCCAGUAAACGGCGGCCGUAACUAUAACGGUCCUAAGGUAGCGAAAUUCCUUGUCGGGUAAGUUCCGACCCGCACGAAAGGCGUAACGAUUUGGGCACUGUCUCAACGAGAGACUCGGUGAAAUCAUAGUACCUGUGAAGAUGCAGGUUACCCGCGACAGGACGGAAAGACCCCGUGGAGCUUUACUGUAGCCUGAUAUUGAAAUUCGGCACAGCUUGUACAGGAUAGGUAGGAGCCUUUGAAACGUGAGCGCUAGCUUACGUGGAGGCGCUGGUGGGAUACUACCCUAGCUGUGUUGGCUUUCUAACCCGCACCACUUAUCGUGGUGGGAGACAGUGUCAGGCGGGCAGUUUGACUGGGGCGGUCGCCUCCUAAAAGGUAACGGAGGCGCUCAAAGGUUCCCUCAGAAUGGUUGGAAAUCAUUCAUAGAGUGUAAAGGCAUAAGGGAGCUUGACUGCGAGACCUACAAGUCGAGCAGGGUCGAAAGACGGACUUAGUGAUCCGGUGGUUCCGCAUGGAAGGGCCAUCGCUCAACGGAUAAAAGCUACCCCGGGGAUAACAGGCUUAUCUCCCCCAAGAGUUCACAUCGACGGGGAGGUUUGGCACCUCGAUGUCGGCUCAUCGCAUCCUGGGGCUGUAGUCGGUCCCAAGGGUUGGGCUGUUCGCCCAUUAAAGCGGUACGCGAGCUGGGUUCAGAACGUCGUGAGACAGUUCGGUCCCUAUCCGUCGUGGGCGUAGGAAAUUUGAGAGGAGCUGUCCUUAGUACGAGAGGACCGGGAUGGACAUACCUCUGGUGUACCAGUUGUCGUGCCAACGGCAUAGCUGGGUAGCUAUGUGUGGACGGGAUAAGUGCUGAAAGCAUCUAAGCAUGAAGCCCCCCUCAAGAUGAGAUUUCCCAACUUCGGUUAUAAGAUCCCUCAAAGAUGAUGAGGUUAAUAGGUUCGAGGUGGAAGCAUGGUGACAUGUGGAGCUGACGAAUACUAAUCGAUCGAAGACUUAAUCAA